GUGGUUGUCACAAUGCCGACAGACUUGCCUAAAAAUAGUCGGUAGGGCUGACUGUCUAUUACUGCUACCGAUGGCUUAAGCCACAAAGAUAAGCAGUGGCCGUGGCAGCACUAUCUGGAAUCUGGAAGUCCACACUGUAGGUCUGUACAAAGGACAAGGAGCACCUUGAAUCGAACGGACGGACAGCCAAUGUUUUCACCAUACUGUACGUUGGACAGGAAAAACUUAUUGUGAUCUUGGUUGAGCUCCAGCUCGAGUGAAAGGUUUUCCCUCCAGUUGGUGCAUCCACCCAUCCAUUUUCCGAUCCGCUUAUCCUCACACGGGUCGCGUGGGUUGCUGGAGCCUGUCCCAGCUGUCUUCGGGCAGUAGGCGGGGGACACCCUGAACCGGUUGCCAGCCAAUCACAGGGCACACAGAGACGAACA